CCUANGGGCGGCAGCAGUGGGGAAUAUUGCACAAUGGGCGCAAGCCUGAUGCAGCGACGUCGCGUGGAGGAUGAAGGUUUUCGGAUUGUAAACUCCUGUUAAACGGGAAGAAAGAGUUACUGUUAAUAGCAGUGAUUGAUGACGUUACCGUUAAAGAAAGCACCGGCUAACUUCGUGCCAGCAGCCGCGGUAAUACGAAGGGUGCGAGCGUUAUUCGGAAUAACUGGGCGGAAAGGGUGCGUAGGCGGUAUUCUAAGUCGACGGUUAAAGACUACAGCUUAACUGUAGAAAGGCCGGCGAUACUGGAGUGCUAGAGGAUAGCAGAGAGGAGUGGAAUUCUCGGAGUAGCGGUAAAAUGCGUAGAUCUCGAGAGGAACACCGAUGGCGAAGGCAGCUCCUUGGGCUAUAUCUGACGCUGAGGCACGAAAGCGUGGGGAGCAAACAGGAUUAGAUACCCCANUANUC
rnacentral:rRNA from 1 species